AACGAACGUUAGCGGCGCGCCUAACACAUGCAAGUCGAGCGAGAAGGGGGCAACCCCUGUAAAGCGGCGCACGGGUGAGUAACACGUAGGUAAUCUACCUCGAGGUGGUGGAUAACCUUCCGAAAGGAGGGCUAAUACAGCAUGGGACCACGUCUUCGAAAGAGGAUGAGGUAAAAGCGGGCCUCUAUACAUAAGCUCGCGCCACGAGAUGAGCCUGCGGCCCAUCAUGGUAGUUGGUAGGGUAACGGCCUACCAAGCCGAAGACGGGUAGCUGGUCUGAGAGGAUGAUCAGCCACACUGGAACUGAGACACGGUCCAGACUCCUACGGGAGGCAGCAGUGGGGAAUCUUGCGCAAUGGGCGAAAGCCUGACGCAGCGACGCCGCGUGAGUGAUGAAGGCCUUCGGGUUGUAAAGCUCUGUGGAGGGGGACGAAUAAGGGUUGGCUAACAUCCAGCUCGAUGACGGUACCCCUUUAGCAAGCACCGGCUAACUCUGUG
rnacentral:rRNA from 1 species